rnacentral:misc_RNA from 1 species
GAUGAAGAACGUAGCGAAAUGCGAUAAGUAGUGUGAAUUGCAGAAUUCAGUGAAUCUUCGAAUCUUUGAACGCACAUUGCGCCCUUUGGUAUUCCUUAGGGCAUGCCUGUUCGAGCGUCAUUUAAACCUUCAAGCUCAGCUUGGUGUUGGGUGACUGUCCGCUUCACCGCGGACUCGCCUCAAAAUUAUUGGCGGCCGGUACAUUGGCUCUCGAGCGCAGCAGAAACGCGUAACUCGAGGUCCUCGUGCUGGCUCCCAGAAGCUAUCUUCACAAUUUUGACCUCGGAUCAGGUAGGGAGACCCGCUGAACUUAAGCAUAUCAAUAAGCGGAGGA